rnacentral:rRNA from 1 species
AUUGAACGCUGGCGGCAUGCUUUACACAUGCAAGUCGAACGGCAGCGCGGGCUUUGGCCUGGCGGCGAGUGGCGAACGGGUGAGUAAUACAUCGGAACGUGCCCAGUAGUGGGGGAUAGCUCGGCGAAAGCCGGAUUAAUACCGCAUACGACCUGAGGGUGAAAGCGGGGGAUCUUCGGACCUCGCGCUAUUGGAGCGGCCGAUGGCAGAUUAGCUAGUUGGUGGGGUAAAGGCCUACCAAGGCGACGAUCUGUAGCUGGUCUGAGAGGACGACCAGCCACACUGGGACUGAGACACGGCCCAGACUCCUACGGGAGGCAGCAGUGGGGAAUUUUGGACAAUGGGCGAAAGCCUGAUCCAGCAAUGCCGCGUGUGUGAUGAAGGCCUUCGGGUUGUAAAGCACUUUUGGCGGGAACGAAAAGGACUGUGCCAAUACCACGGUUCGAUGACGGUACCCGCAGAAUAAGCACCGGCUAACUAUGUG